UACGGAGGGUGCAAGCGUUAUCCGGAUUCACUGGGUUUAAAGGGUGCGUAGGUGGGCAUGUAAGUCAGAGGUGAAAUCCCCGAGCUUAACUUGGGAACUGCCUUUGAUACUAUAUGUCUUGAAUGUUGUGGAGGUAAGCGGAAUAUGUCAUGUAGCGGUGAAAUGCUUAGAUAUGACAUGGAACACCGAUUGCGAAGGCAGCUUGCUACACAAAUAUUGACACUGAGGCACGAAAGCGUGGGGAGCAAACAGGAUUAGAUACCCUGGUAGUCCACGCCCUAAACUAUGGAUACUCGACAUCAGCGAUAGACAGUUGGUGUCUGAGCGAAAGCAUUAAGUAUCCCACCUGGGAAGUACGACCGCAAGGUUGAA
rnacentral:rRNA from 1 species